rnacentral:rRNA from 1 species
CCUACGGGUGGCAGCAGUGGGGAAUAUUGGACAAUGGGGGCAACCCUGAUCCAGCCAUGCCGCGUGUGUGAAGAAGGCCCUCGGGUUGUAAAGCACUUUCAGUGAGGAAGAACGCCUGGUGGUUAAUACCCAUCAGGAAAGACAUCACUCACAGAAGAAGCACCGGCUAACUCCGUGCCAGCAGCCGCGGUAAUACGGAGGGUGCGAGCGUUAAUCGGAAUUACUGGGCGUAAAGCGCGUGUAGGUGGCUUGAUAAGCCGGUUGUGAAAGCCCCGGGCUCAACCUGGGAACGGCAUCCGGAACUGUCAAGCUAGAGUGCAGGAGAGGAAGGUAGAAUUCCCGGUGUAGCGGUGAAAUGCGUAGAGAUCGGGAGGAAUACCAGUGGCGAAGGCGGCCUUCUGGACUGACACUGACACUGAGGUGCGAAAGCGUGGGUAGCAAACAGGAUUAGAUACCCGAGUAGUC